UAGACUUGUGCAUGUUUUUGCUUAACUUGUGGAUAAAGUCUUACAGACAGGUGCAAAAAAUAAAUCCUCUUUUGCAACCCAGAACUCAUUGUUCAGUAUGAGUUUUGAUACAUAUAAGAAAGGACAUU
rnacentral:snoRNA from 10 species